UGCCCGACGACAGCCUGUGCACCAUGCGUCGGCGGCUGUGCAUCGCGUCCCUUUCUUCUUCAGGGAUUUACCAAAUUUACUUAAGUUUUUCAUUUGGUCUGUUUAGUUUUUUUUUGUGGGGGUCCAGCUGUUCAGUUUUGAUGCUGUGUUGGUCUGGAUUGCAUUCCAGACCAUUUUGGAGAUCGUUGUCAAUUGACCAUUUUCUUAGAUCCAAUAUUAUGCGCUGCAAUGGUGAUUGGGUCCUGAUGCUGCAGAUGUAAAAAAUGUGAUUUUUUAGUUGCUGCUUUUGGGAUUUGACGGAGGAGCAGCUGUCACAGGAGAAGAAGGAUGAGGAGGAUAUUUUCAUCUGGCGGUGGUGGCAGUCAAGCUUGCGCAUUGCGACAUCGUGAUCCAUUUUGGAGGAAGCUGAAACAUGCGCUGAGGAUCUCCGCCUGGAACAUCCACUUCUCCUCCUGCUCCCUGGCGUCCUCCUACAGCACCUGCGUGGCACGAGAUUAUGGUGGCGGCGAUUCCAGCCUUGACUCCAACCAUGGCUAGAUUCGUGGCCGAGAUCGACCCGGAUGGUGCCAGUCGUGGAUGGACACUUUGUGAGAUGCCGCUUCUGAGGAGGAUGAGGCCGACGACCUACAAAUGGAAAACCAGGCACCACAGGGGCACCGGCCAGCGGCACGAGCUGGGGAGAAAGUGGGUGGCACCGCUGGAGAAAAAGCGACAUGGGCUGCUCACCGUAGCUUUUCAUGUGAAUUGAAAAUUUGAUGUUUUUAAAUGUUUUUUGUCCAAUUGAUUCUGAUUUUCUAUGAUUUUAUUCGAAGUACUCUUUGGAAUGAUUAAAUGUUUUCGAUUUUUUA